CCUACGGGAGGCAGCAGUGAGGAAUAUUGGUCAAUGGCCGGAAGCCUGAACCAGCCAAGCCGCGUGAAGGAUGAAGGUGCCAAGCAUUGUAAACUUCUUUUGUCAAGGGACAAAAUCCGGUACGAGUGCCUGAUCGAGGGUACUUGAAGAAAAAGCAUCGGCUAACUCCGUGCCAGCAGCCGCGGUAAUACGGAGGAUGCGAGCGUUAUCCGGAUUUAUUGGGUUUAAAGGGUGCGUAGGCGGGCUGUUAAGUCAUGGGUAAAAGUUGGGGUUAAACCCCGACGAGCCGUUGAAACUGGCUGUCUUGAGAAGUCGAGAGGUAUGCGGAAUGCGUGGUGUAGCGGUGAAAUGCUUAGAUAUUGCGCAGAACUCCGAUUGCGAAGGCAGCAUACCGGCGGCGAUCUGACGCUGAGGCACGAAAGCGUGGGUAUCGAACAGGAUUAGAUACCCUAGUAGUC
rnacentral:rRNA from 1 species